GCGGCGGGCGCGCGGGUCGAGAGAGCGUGGCGGCGCGGCCCGGAGCGCAGCGCGCGGCAGGGCUCCCCCUGGCGGUCAGAGGACAGCGCGAGGCAGACACCGCCUCCGCCUGGUGAGGUAGACACCGCCUCCGCCUGGUGAGGUCUCCCGGCGUUCAGGUCGCGGCUCCGCCCACGGCCGCCCCAGGGUGGGCUUCCUACACGUCUCUUUAAAGGGCAGCCUGAGCGGCCACCGGGACUCGGAAAUGCUACGUAGUUUUCGUUCUCAGAAGCAGCUGUUUAUGCGCAAGCGCCCCCUUCUUCUUUUCGCUUUGCUACCUUCAAGGACCUUCUCCCAAACUGCUAAUUUUUCUUCAUCCGUUAAAGGUCUAUUGAUUCACAUUAUUUGCUGGCAGUGUGUGAAGUCAACGAACAAGACUGAGUCUUUGCCCUUGAGACGCGUACACUCUACCCAGAGACAAGUUCUAAGCACAGGAAACAAGUAAUUUUAUAAGAACAUCAUAGGGCAGUUAUUCUCCAGAUGAAUUCAGAUUAAAGAGGACACUUGAGCCGGUGAGAUCACAGAAAGCUUUUAUCACCCACCCCUUUAGAGGUGGUCGAGAUUAUUUACCCCUAUUAAAUUUCACGUGUGGUGGUGGACUCGGUAUAAACAUCAAAUUGAACAUGUAUUGAGCUUUCCUCAACAAUCUUUCACAUUCGUUGAGGUGAAUCAGAUUAUUAAAGGCAAAAUGAGAUUCUCAUUAUAAGCGGGGACAAUAUAGCUAUUGAAAAGAGAGAUGAACCAGUUGGUAAAAUGUGCCAAAGAGAGAAGAAGUUAAACUUGCCAUCUGAACAAUGGAAUUCCCAAAGCACAAAUAAAGAGCAACUUCUUUUGUAAAAGGAUUUUGAGUCUAAAGAGCUUGUCUAGAGGAAGCUAUCAUGAGCCACCCACAUUUGCAAUGCCCCUGGUGUGGAAGGGAAUAGAAUGUCAGCAG
rnacentral:lncRNA from 1 species